rnacentral:antisense_RNA from 1 species
GUGGGAGCCGGGCUUGCCCGCGAUGCAGGCGACUCGGUCUGUCAGGGAACCGAGGUGAUGCGAUCGCGGGCAAGCCCGGCUCCCAC